CUACCAGACUCCUACGGGAGGCAGCAGUGGGGGAUAUUGCACAAUGGGGGAAACCCUGAUGCAGCGACGCCGCGUGAGCGAUGAAGUAUUUCGGUAUGUAGAGCUCUAUCAGCAGGGAAGAAAAUGACGGUACCUGACUAAGAAGCCCCGGCUAACUACGUGCCAGCAGCCGCGGUAAUACGUAGGGGGCAAGCGUUAUCCGGAUUUACUGGGUGUAAAGGGAGCGUAGACGGCGCUGCAAGUCCGGAGUGAAAGUCCAUGGCUUAACCAUGGUACUGCUCUGGAAACUGUUUUUCUUGAGUGCUGGAGAGGCAAUCGGAAUUCCGUGUGUAGCGGUGAAAUGCGUAGAUAUACGGAGGAACACCAGUGGCGAAGGCGGAUUGCUGGACAGUAACUGACGCUGAGGCGCGAAAGCGUGGGGAGCAAACAGGAUUAGAUACCCUCGUAC
rnacentral:rRNA from 1 species